ensembl:lncRNA AABR07062350.1
GCGCGAUCGGCCAAUGAGAGCGCGCGAUGCCUAUUCUCCAUGCAAAUCUCCUGGUUUUUUAUUUGAAUGAGGGAUUUUGGCCACGCCUCCUGCCUUGAAAAAUGAGGCCCGUCUGCCGUGGUGGCGCUGCGGUCUUUUCAAUCGCGUCCGGAGGUGAAUUUUUUUCCGGUUGCCUCUUUUUUAAUCCUCGAGGUGUUUUUUUGUUUUGUUUUGUUUUUGCAUGGAGAUUCCUCAGUAGCCACCCCUCCAUGAAACUUGAGAAAAGAAGUAGAUUCAUGCAAUUUAGUUCAGUCUAGCAUUGAACUUGCCACGUAGCCCACACAGGUCUGGAAUUUGAAAUCAGUCGGCCUCAACCUCUCAAGUGUUGCUUACAGACAGAUCAGAGAACAAAUGUAAAAUCUCAUCAUCACGACUCAGGACCCACUUCCUGAACCACUGAAAGCUGGCUGGCUCAACCUGCCUGAUUUCUUCUAGCACCUCGGACUACCAGGCCAGGGGUGGCCCAGCCCGCCAUGAGCUGGGCUCUCCCUCAUCAAUCAAGAAGAUGUUCCACAGGCCAAUAUGGUGGGCAUUUCGUCACUUGAAGUUCCCUUUUUACAAGUGUUCUGACUUGUGUCAAGUUGACAUAAAAUUAGUCAGCACACCACUCAAUGUGUUCUUGUAAACAUUAGGUAUUCGCCCCGUGUGGCCACACAUUGUAAUCCCAGCACUCAGGAGGCUCCAGCAAGAACAAGCCCAAGAUCCUGCGGACCUAAUUAAUGUAAUGUGUCUUGACAAUGGAUAUCUGUUUAUGAUAUCAAAAUACCUAGGAUACCUACAAUGCUUGUGGUCUGCCCUCCCCUGACCCCGGCCUAUACCAUCUUCAGUCUCCACAGCAGCUGAAGCCACCAUGUGCCAUCGGGGCCAGUCCUUCCUGUCAACACCUGAACGAUAGACUCAUAAAUAUAGACUCUGCCUAUAUCACUUCAACACUGUCUUACUGCACCUAGGAACUAAGUUAUGAUUUCCACAUUUUUCGGUCACUUUGUACCUUUCUAGUAUUGAAAAAACUCCUCUAAAUACCUGUAUUUACUAUUGAUUGGGGGUAUUUUGUGAAGUUGCAGUCUUGAGUUGUAAUUUUUUUUCCA